rnacentral:rRNA from 1 species
GGGUUGUGAGGUUAAGCGACUAAGCGUACACGGUGGAUGCCCUGGCAGUCAGAGGCGAUGAAGGACGUGCUAAUCUGCGAUAAGCGUCGGUAAGGUGAUAUGAACCGUUAUAACCGGCGAUUUCCGAAUGGGGAAACCCAGUGUGUUUCGACACACUAUCAUUAACUGAAUCCAUAGGUUAAUGAGGCGAACCGGGGGAACUGAAACAUCUAAGUACCCCGAGGAAAAGAAAUCAACCGAGAUUCCCCCAGUAGCGGCGAGCGAACGGGGAGGAGCCCAGAGCCUGAAUCAGUGUGUGUGUUAGUGGAAGCGUCUGGAAAGGCGCGCGAUACAGGGUGACAGCCCCGUACACAAAAAUGCACAUGCUGUGAGCUCGAUGAGUAGGGCGGGACACGUGGUAUCCUGUCUGAAUAUGGGGGGACCAUCCUCCAAGGCUAAAUACUCCUGACUGACCGAUAGUGAACCAGUACCGUGAGGGAAAGGCGAAAAGAACCCCGGCGAGGGGAGUGAAAAAGAACCUGAAACCGUGUACGUACAAGCAGUGGGAGCCUCUUUUAUGGGGUGACUGCGUACCUUUUGUAUAAUGGGUCAGCGACUUAUAUUCUGUAGCAAGGUUAACCGAAUAGGGGAGCCGAAGGGAAACCGAGUCUUAACUGGGCGUUAAGUUGCAGGGUAUAGACCCGAAACCCGGUGAUCUAGCCAUGGGCAGGUUGAAGGUUGGGUAACACUAACUGGAGGACCGAACCGACUAAUGUUGAAAAAUUAGCGGAUGACUUGUGGCUGGGGGUGAAAGGCCAAUCAAACCGGGAGAUAGCUGGUUCUCCCCGAAAGCUAUUUAGGUAGCGCCUCGUGAAUUCAUCUCCGGGGGUAGAGCACUGUUUCGGCAAGGGGGUCAUCCCGACUUACCAACCCGAUGCAAACUGCGAAUACCGGAGAAUGUUAUCACGGGAGACACACGGCGGGUGCUAACGUCCGUCGUGAAGAGGGAAACAACCCAGACCGCCAGCUAAGGUCCCAAAGUCAUGGUUAAGUGGGAAACGAUGUGGGAAGGCCCAGACAGCCAGGAUGUUGGCUUAGAAGCAGCCAUCAUUUAAAGAAAGCGUAAUAGCUCACUGGUCGAGUCGGCCUGCGCGGAAGAUGUAACGGGGCUAAACCAUGCACCGAAGCUGCGGCAGCGACACUAUGUGUUGUUGGGUAGGGGAGCGUUCUGUAAGCCUGUGAAGGUGUACUGUGAGGUAUGCUGGAGGUAUCAGAAGUGCGAAUGCUGACAUAAGUAACGAUAAAGCGGGUGAAAAGCCCGCUCGCCGGAAGACCAAGGGUUCCUGUCCAACGUUAAUCGGGGCAGGGUGAGUCGACCCCUAAGGCGAGGCCGAAAGGCGUAGUCGAUGGGAAACAGGUUAAUAUUCCUGUACUUGGUGUUACUGCGAAGGGGGGACGGAGAAGGCUAUGUUGGCCGGGCGACGGUUGUCCCGGUUUAAGCGUGUAGGCUGGUUUUCCAGGCAAAUCCGGAAAAUCAAGGCUGAGGCGUGAUGACGAGGCACUACGGUGCUGAAGCAACAAAUGCCCUGCUUCCAGGAAAAGCCUCUAAGCAUCAGGUAACAUCAAAUCGUACCCCAAACCGACACAGGUGGUCAGGUAGAGAAUACCAAGGCGCUUGAGAGAACUCGGGUGAAGGAACUAGGCAAAAUGGUGCCGUAACUUCGGGAGAAGGCACGCUGAUAUGUAGGUGAAGUCCCUCGCGGAUGGAGCUGAAAUCAGUCGAAGAUACCAGCUGGCUGCAACUGUUUAUUAAAAACACAGCACUGUGCAAACACGAAAGUGGACGUAUACGGUGUGACGCCUGCCCGGUGCCGGAAGGUUAAUUGAUGGGGUCAGCGCAAGCGAAGCUCUUGAUCGAAGCCCCGGUAAACGGCGGCCGUAACUAUAACGGUCCUAAGGUAGCGAAAUUCCUUGUCGGGUAAGUUCCGACCUGCACGAAUGGCGUAAUGAUGGCCAGGCUGUCUCCACCCGAGACUCAGUGAAAUUGAACUCGCUGUGAAGAUGCAGUGUACCCGCGGCAAGACGGAAAGACCCCGUGAACCUUUACUAUAGCUUGACACUGAACAUUGAGCCUUGAUGUGUAGGAUAGGUGGGAGGCUUUGAAGUGUGGACGCCAGUCUGCAUGGAGCCGACCUUGAAAUACCACCCUUUAAUGUUUGAUGUUCUAACGUUGACCCGUAAUCCGGGUUGCGGACAGUGUCUGGUGGGUAGUUUGACUGGGGCGGUCUCCUCCUAAAGAGUAACGGAGGAGCACGAAGGUUGGCUAAUCCUGGUCGGACAUCAGGAGGUUAGUGCAAUGGCAUAAGCCAGCUUGACUGCGAGCGUGACGGCGCGAGCAGGUGCGAAAGCAGGUCAUAGUGAUCCGGUGGUUCUGAAUGGAAGGGCCAUCGCUCAACGGAUAAAAGGUACUCCGGGGAUAACAGGCUGAUACCGCCCAAGAGUUCAUAUCGACGGCGGUGUUUGGCACCUCGAUGUCGGCUCAUCACAUCCUGGGGCUGAAGUAGGUCCCAAGGGUAUGGCUGUUCGCCAUUUAAAGUGGUACGCGAGCUGGGUUUAGAACGUCGUGAGACAGUUCGGUCCCUAUCUGCCGUGGGCGCUGGAGAACUGAGGGGGGCUGCUCCUAGUACGAGAGGACCGGAGUGGACGCAUCACUGGUGUUCGGGUUGUCAUGCCAAUGGCACUGCCCGGUAGCUAAAUGCGGAAGAGAUAAGUGCUGAAAGCAUCUAAGCACGAAACUUGCCCCGAGAUGAGUUCUCCCUGACCCUUUAAGGGUCCUGAAGGAACGUUGAAGACGACGACGUUGAUAGGCCGGGUGUGUAAGCGCAGCGAUGCGUUGAGCUAACCGGUACUAAUGAACCGUGAGGCUUAACCUUACAACGCCGAAGCUGUU